AGUCUCCACAGACUGCCUCCUCAAAAUGAAGUUGCCUGUUCUGCUGUUGGUGCUGCUGUUGCUCAGGAUUCCUGCUUCCAGAGGUGAUGUUGUGAUGACCCAAACUCCAACCUCCCUGCCUGUCAGCCUUGGAGAUCAAGCCUCCAUCUCUUGCAGGUCUAGUCAGAGCCUUGUACAUAGUGAUGGAAACACCUAUUUGAAUUGGCUUCUGCAGAAACCAGGCCAGUCCCCACAGCUCCUGAUAUACAAGGUUUCCACCAGAUUUUCUGGAGUCCCAGACAGAUUCAGUGGCAGUGGGUCAGGCACAGAUUUUACACUCAAGAUCAGCAGAGUGGAGCCUGAGGACUUAGGAGUUUAUUACUGUUUGCAAGGUUCACAUGCUCCUCUCACAGUGAUUCAGACCCUAACAAAAACAUGCCUGCUUGGGGAGGCCCAGCUGCCAAAUAUGUUACUUAUCUGUGUGAGAGCAGGAGGGGCACUGAGAUUUCCAGAUUAUUGCUUUCAGCUGAGGGAUUUGGAGCGUGAGUGCCUGCCUUGGCUACACCUCAAGGGUCACACAACUCAGUUUUCUUCAGCUGCAGUAACAAUGAAAUUGCCUUAA